GAUGAACGCUGGCGGCGUGCCUAAUACAUGCAAGUCGAGCGAAGCGGGGACGGGUGAGUAACACGUGGAUAACCUCCUAUAAGACUGGGAUAACUUCGGGAAACCGGAGCUAAACCGGAUACUUAUCGAUGGAUCCGCGCGGCAUUAGCUAGUUGGUAAGGUCACGGCUUACCAAGGCAACGAUGCAUAGCCGACCUGAGAGGGUGAACAGCCACACUGGAACAGAGACACGGUCCAGACUCCUACGGGAGGCAGCAGUAGGGAAUUUUGCGCAAUGGGCGAAAGCCUGACGAAGCAACGCCGCGUGAGUGAUGAAGGUCUUCGGAUCGUAAAACUCUGUUAUUGGGGAAGCGUUACCUGAUCAGAAAGCAACGGCUAACGACGUGCCAGCAGCCGCGGUAAUAC
rnacentral:rRNA from 1 species